rnacentral:rRNA from 1 species
CGUGCCAGAAGCGUCGGUAAGACGUGGGCCCCGAGCGCUAUCCGGUGUUACUGGGCGUAAAGAGUCGUGUAGNCGGUUCGAAAAGUUACCUUUAAAAUCCCAAUGCUCAACAUUGGAACUGGAGGUAAUACUCUCGAACUAGAGUUUUCUACAGGGUGAAUGGAACUGUGGGAGGAGUAGUGAAAUGCGUUGAUCCCCACGGGAACACCAGUGGCGAAGGCGGUUCACUGGUAGAAGACUGACGCUGAGACACGAAAGCUAGGGUAUCGAAGCAGAUUAGAGACCUGCGUAGUCCUAGCCGUAAACGCAUGCUUGCUAGCUGCAUUUCCGCCCCUUCGGGGGUUAGGUGUGGCGAAGGUAACCCGUUAAGCAAGCCGCCUGGGGAUUACGGUCGCAAGACUAAAACUCAAAGGAAUUGGCGGGGAGGCACACAACCAGUGGAACAUGUGGUUUAAUUCGAAACAAACCGAAGAACCUCACCUGGGUUUGACAUGUAGCUGCUCAUCCUAUGAAAGUAGGACUCCUUCGAGGGUGCUACACAGGUGCUGCAUGGCUGUCGUCAGUUCGUUCCGUGAGGAGUGCCCUUAAGUGGGACAACGAACGCAACCCCCAUCGUAUGUUAUAUCUGUCAUACGAAACUGCCUUGCCGUUGGCGAGGAGGAAGGAGGGGCAGACGUCAAGUCUGCAUGGUCCUUAUGCCCAGGGCUACACACAUGUUACAAUGAGAAGGAACAAUGAGCAUUGCGAACUCGCGAGGGUAAGCAAUCUCAGAAAUCUUCUCUCAGUGGGGAUUGGAGUCUGCAAUUCGACUCCAUGAACGCGGAAUUGGUAGUAAUCGCGGGUCAGCUAUACCGCGGUGAAUACGUUCUUGCCUCUUGCACACACCGCCCGUCAAGCCAACAAAGUCGGGGUGAUAUGAAUCUCGACCAUGUCGAGAGAUAUUGCUUUGGCGAUGAGGGUAAGUCGUAACAAG